UACGGGGGGUGCGAGCGUUGUUCGGAUUUAUUGGGCGUAAAGGGCGUGCAGGCGGUCUGUUAAGUCCGGUGUGAAAGCCCCGGGCCCAACCCGGGAAGUGCAUUGGAUACUGGCAGACUUGAGUACGGGAGAGGAGAGCGGAAUUCCUGGUGGAGGGGUGAAAUCCGCAGAUAUCAGGAAGAACACCGGUGGCGAAGGCGGCUCUCUGGACCGCUACUGACGCUGAGACGCGAAAGCAUGGGGAGCAAACAGG
rnacentral:rRNA from 1 species